rnacentral:rRNA from 1 species
CCUACGGGAGGCAGCAGUAGGGAAUCUUCCGCAAUGGGCGAAAGCCUGACGGAGCAACGCCGCGUGAGUGAUGAAGGUCUUCGGAUCGUAAAACUCUGUUAUUAGGGAAGAACAAAUGUGUAAGUAACUAUGCACGUCUUGACGGUACCUAAUCAGAAAGCCACGGCUAACUACGUGCCAGCAGCCGCGGUAAUACGUAGGUGGCAAGCGUUAUCCGGAAUUAUUGGGCGUAAAGCGCGCGUAGGCGGUUUUUUAAGUCUGAGGUGAAAGCCCACGGCGCAACCGGGGAGGGUCAUUGGAAACUGGAAAACUUGAGGGCAGAAGAGGAAAGUGAAAUUCCAUGUGUAGCGGUGAAAUGCGCAGAGAUAUGGAGGAACACCAGUGGCGAAGGCGACUUUCUGGUCUGUAACUGACGCU